GACGAACGCUGGCGGCGUGCUUAACACAUGCAAGUCGAACGGAAAGGCCCUGCUUUUGUGGGGUGCUCGAGUGGCGAACGGGUGAGUAACACGUGAGUAACCUGCCCUUGACUUUGGGAUAACUUCAGGAAACUGGGGCUAAUACCGGAUAGGAGCUCCUGCUGCAUGGUGGGGGUUGGAAAGUUUCGGCGGUUGGGGAUGGACUCGCGGCUUAUCAGCUUGUUGGUGGGGUAGGGGCUUACCAAGGCUUUGACGGGUAGCCGGCCUGAGAGGGGGACCGGCCACAUUGGGACUGAGAUACGGCCCAGACUCCUACGGGAGGCAGCAGUGGGGAAUAUUGCACAAUGGGCGGAAGCCUGAUGCAGCAACGCCGCGUGCGGGAUGACGGCCUUCGGGUUGUAAACCGCUUUCGCCUGUGACGAAGCGUGAGUGACGGUAAUGGGUAAAGAAGCACCGGCUAACUACGUG
rnacentral:rRNA from 1 species